CUAGCAGCUGGAGGAUGUAGAGGCUGUAGCUUACCCGGUGCUGAGUUGGAGCUAGCGGUGCUGGCUGGUGUGUGCCGAGGCCAGGCUUUUCACCUCUGGCUAUCACUGUGGGUAGGCCUGUUCCACCUCUGCAAGCCCGAAAUUCUGGCCUUGCUUAAGAAACAUGCUGGAGGACUUUGGAGAGCCAAGAUCACAGAGUAAACACUAAGGGAACUGGCAGAUUCCAGCUCAGAGAUCUACCAUGUGCACCACCUGGCAGGUGUCCUUCUGUAGCCAAACCUCCCUGUGCUUCAGCAUAGCCCUGGUGAAAUGCAGAAAAAUCCCACCUGGCCUCAGCACACAUCAGACACCACCAACAGACACGACCCCAGCUCAGCACCAGAGUAAGUUAAUAUGAAAGACGUGUCGGUGUGCCUACCAUGAACAGUCACUUGGGCUCUUAACUCAAGGAAUGUUUCCUGUAUUUUCCAGGUUCAAGCCAACUACGCACCAUGAUGACUCUACACCUUCUAUUUUUGUUGCUUUUUCUGACAUUCUCCUACCCUGGUAUUAAAUGUUCGCUUGGUUCUUCCAAAGCUACUCCUAAGGAUACAUAUGAUUGCACGAUGAUGGGUGGUUCAUGUGCAGAAGUAUGCAAGUCCUAUUGCUACAUGGUUGGCACCUGUAAAGAUAGGAAAUUGUCAUGCUGUUUAUAUCUUUGAGUACAUAGAUUGUUGACUAAAAAUAGAAGCAGGAAAUCACAGUCUUUCCAGGCUGUGUGGUAAGAAAGGGCCAGAGAACAGAAGAUGAGAGAAAUUGAAAUGAAUGGAAUGAAUGUUACUCUUAUAUUAAUAAAGUAAGCCCCAAUUGUAAAGCAA